rnacentral:rRNA from 1 species
AGGGUUCGAUUCUGGCUCAGGAUGAACGCUAGCGGCAGGCUUAACACAUGCAAGUCGAGGGGCAACGCGAGUAGCAAUACUUGGCGGCGACCGGCGCAAGGGUGCGUAACGCGUGAGCAACAUGCCCGUAUCAGGGGGAUAAUCCAGGGAAACUUGGUCUAAUACCCCAUAGUAAUUUUGUAAGGCAUCUUAUAAGAUUUAAAGCUUUGGUGGAUACGGAUUGGCUCGCGUGACAUUAGCUGGAUGGUAAGGUAACGGCUUACCAUGGCUAUGAUGUCUAGGGGUUCUGAGAGGAAGGUCCCCCACACUGGAACUGAGACACGGUCCAGACUCCUACGGGAGGCAGCAGUGAGGAAUAUUGGACAAUGGAUGGAAAUCUGAUCCAGCCAUGCCGCGUGAAGGAAGAGGUCCUAUGGAUUGUAAACUUCUUUUGUAUGGGAGCAAUAAGGCCUACGAGUAGGCUGAUGAGAGUACCAUACGAAUAAGCACCGGCUAACUCCGUGCCAGCCGCCGC